UACGUAGGGGGCUAGCGUUGUCCGGAAUCAUUGGGCGUAAAGCGCGUGUAGGCGGCUCGGUAAGUCCGCUCUGAAAGCCCGGGGGCUCAACCCCGGGAGGCGGGUGGAUACUGCCGGGCUAGAGUCCGGAAGAGGCGAGUGGAAUUCCUGGUGUAGCGGUGAAAUGCGCAGAUAUCAGGAGGAACACCAAUUGCGAAGGCAGCUCGCUGGGACGGUACUGACGCUGAGACGCGAAAGCGUGGGGAGCGAACAGG
rnacentral:rRNA from 1 species